GACGAACGCUGGCGGCGUGCUUAACACAUGCAAGUCGAACGGAAAGACCCUGCUUUUGUGGGGUGCUCGAGUGGCGAACGGGUGAGUAACACGUGAGUAACCUGCCCUUGACUUUGGGAUAACUUCAGGAAACUGGGGCUAAUACCGGAUAGGAGCUCCUGCUGCAUGGUGGGGGUUGGAAAGUUUCGGCGGUUGGGGAUGGACUCGCGGCUUAUCAGCUUGUUGGUGGGGUAGUGGCUUACCAAGGCUUUGACGGGUAGCCGGCCUGAGAGGGUGACCGGCCACAUUGGGACUGAGAUACGGCCCAGACUCCUACGGGAGGCAGCAGUGGGGAAUAUUGCACAAUGGGCGGAAGCCUGAUGCAGCAACGCCGCGUGCGGGAUGACGGCCUUCGGGUUGUAAACCGCUUUCGCCUGUGACGAAGCGUGAGUGACGGUAAUGGGCAAAGAAGCACCGGCUAACUACGUG
rnacentral:rRNA from 1 species